rnacentral:rRNA from 1 species
AGUUUCGUAUCCAGUUUUCAGGGUGUACUGCCUUGAAUGUUUGGUGGCGAUGGCGGAAGGGAACCACGCGUACCCAUCCCGAACACGACCGUUAAGCCUUCCAGCGCCGAUGGUACUUGGACCGCAGGGUCCUGGGAGAGUAGGACGUCGCCAAGC